ensembl:lncRNA
CAAAUCUUGUCAUCAUGUUCUUAUUUGAACAUUUUCAGAGAGAAUUCAAGAGAUUAGCAUGAGUACAUCAGAGAUGCUCUGACAGUUGACAGAGUAUUUUUGCUGUGGUUGUGUGUUUGGUAUUCAAAUAGAUCCCCUUUUGAUGAGUAAGCAAUAGCCCCACCCCUUUAAGAGAAGGGCUAAACUCAUAUGUGCAUAUUCUUAGUUGAGCAGGUUGCAAAGCAGCAAGUUGAUCUCUAACUUGCUCCCACUAAUAGCUGGAAUACUACAGACAGAUUGUAAACACACAACUUUCACAGCAGGGGUGUGCUAUUGCUGCUUUUACUCUGCCAUAGGAGUUGGCACAAGAUAAACAGUUUCUUCUGCAGGUAUCAACUGCGAUCAAGAUGGGCAAUGAGCAUUCUAAAAACAAGGCUGAGCAGGCUCCAGAAAAGCCCCUGCAUGGAGGAUUGAAUGGCCAUGCUGUAAGCAUCUCAUCCAAUGGCCUGGAGAAUGUUAUCAGUGAAGCAGCUGUGGAGCAGAACAGUAUGCCUCCCUCACUGCCUCCCUCUGAAGAGUCAGGUAUAGUGGAGGCAGAUGGCAGUGGUCUUGGGCCUGUGGUGGUGGAACAGAAGUCUGCCAUCAAGGAGGUUCCAGAAGUGGAACCAGAGACACAGAAUGCUAAGACUCAAAACACACCGGAACCAGAACUGGAACCAGCCACCCAAGAGAAGGAGGAGCCCAAGAACAGUACGAAAGAAAAAGUGAACAUCUUUGAAAAUCUGUUCAAGAAGAAAGCUAAGCCUCAACCCACCCCCAACCCGGAUCCAGCCCUGGAAAAGGAGGAAACCAUAAAGGACAAGAUUGUGGAGGAGAUUGAAAGUUCUGCAGAAGAUCAGAAAGUCCCUGUGGCUGUGACCGAUGGGAUCCAAGCUGAGCCACUUGCUGAGGUAAAGGAGGAUACAGAGACUUCAAAGGAGCGUCCCAACCCUAGUCCAGAGGCAGAGGAGGUCAAAAGCCCCAAAAUUGCAGAGGAAAGCAGUCACAUUCAGGAAAACCAAGAGGGAGAGAGUCAAACAGAAGAGAAUCCAGUUAUGAACUUCUUCAAAACACUAGUGACUCCCACAAAAAAAAACAAGCAAGAAACAGCCACCCCUGCUGUUGCAAAAGACCAGAAAGAGGCCCAACCAACAACAACAACUACUGCUGCACAACUAGUGGAUGCUCCAGCAACAGCCAAAGGAGGAAUGUCAAUCCCACCAGCCCCAGCCCCAGCCCCAUCCCCAGCCCCAGCCCCAGCCCCAGCCCCAGCCCCAGCCCCAGCCCCAUCCCCAGCCCCAGCCCCAGCCCCAGCCCCAGCCCCAGCCCUAGGCUCAUGUAAGAUGGAGGUUAAAGCAGAACUAGCUGCCCAAUCUGUGACCAACACACCAAACGAAGAACCAAAGGGUGCUGCCAAAGAACCAGAGGCCGCCAAGCCGAAAUCUGACCGCCCGUUCAGCAGACUUUUCAGCAGAAAGAAUGUAGACUUCUCAAAGACGGCCACUCUGGAGGCCUCUGCCACACUAGAACCACCACCACCAGAGGAAGAGAAGACACCUGCUGCCUCCAAAGCCUCUCCUUUCACUUCCUUUUCUCUUUUCAAGACAAAGGCAGCUGUGCCAAAAAAGGAAGUCCCUGCCCUAGCUGCAGAAGCGGUAGUUGAACCAAGUGUAGCCAAGGACGAACCAAAGGCCCCAGAGGACCCUGCUGUGGACAGCAAGCCCGUGUCAGAGCCCUCCGAGGUUAUGGAGAAUUCCCCCGUCCUCCCUAAGAGACUGGAGAAGAGGAACUCCAUCCACUUGUUCUUCAAAAACCUGGGCAAACGCCAGUCAGAUGCAGGAGUACAAACAGAACCAGAGAAGACCAAAUAAAACAGAAACACCCUUUCAAACAUCACAUGCCAUAUCUGGAAAUGAACUUUUGAUUUGUUAGAUACAUUAUGUUUCUGAUCACACUAUUGAUGUGGUAAGAGCAAGUGGUUUGAGGGAGAGAGGUGGACUGUGGACUAGUCUGUUCUAGUCUAAUCUUUGUGGACAAUUUCAGAGAAUUGUUCUUUGUGGAGGAGGUAAAUAUAUUUUCUGGUUUUAAAGGCUUGAUAGGUAGAGAAAAGUGGUUUUGUAACAUAUACUGAGAGCAAAAUCAAUUUUCUAUACAGUAUGUACCCUUCUUUUAACAUACAUGUCAAACUCAUUCCACGGAGGGCUGAGUGUCUGCUGGUUUUUGUUCCUCCCUUGAUUGAUUAAUUAAGGUCACUAAUUAGUAAAGAACUCCCCUCACCUGGUUGUCUAAGGUCUUAAAAACGAAACACUCGCAGACACUAAGCCCUUCAUGGAAUGAGUUUGACAUCCCUGCUUUAACAUAUUAAUGUGUAAGGAUCUAAUGCAAAUAUUACGUUUAGCAUAUUUUUUUCCCUCUAUACGCAAUUUACUAGUCUGAAAAUAACUUGUGGAGUGCAUACAAUGGUUUCAGAUACAUUCAUAGGACGUCUUGGAGAAGAGAUGCAUAAAGCUUAGCUUGGAAUAGAGAGAUAGUAAUGGAAUAUACUCCAAAUGUAAUGGAGGAGUUGGUGAAAUGGUGGAUAUUCCUGCCAAGAUGUUUUUAUUUAGGCUAGACACAUGCAACUUACAAUGUAGGCUUUAAACUUUGCAGGAACUGUACACGGAUGCAAAUAUAUGCCAAACACUAAAUUACAAUAUAUGAUUAUAAUCAUACACAGGGGGACCUCACAAUCAUUACUUUUUUUGGGAACUACACAGAUCAUCUGGUAGUCUAUAUAGCUAACUGCACAGUCAUGAAUCAUAUUUGAUUAACGUUUCACUGAAGUAUAAAGGUUUGUUCUAAUUUGAGUGCACUGCUUUACAUGUGUGUGCCUGUUUGAAUGCAGAUGUUAUAAUCUUGGGUAUCUUGUCUGUUAAUUUCUGCACCUAUAAUUUGAUAAACUGGAUCUGGAAGUAGAAUAUUUAUUGUGACAGCAAUUUCCGAAUCAUGACAACCUGCAAUGGGGUAUAUGGGGGGGUUCUACUGAGCUAACAUGGAUUUUUUUUUAAAGAUCAUACCAUGGAUCCUUUAGCUAUUUAAUUUUUCAUUGGGGUAAAAUAUUGAAUUUGGCCUUUUAAUGCUACAACCUAUAGAAAUGCAUUGAAUAACACACUCAUAAAUGGCAAAACAGAGUACAAAAAUAAAUAAUAAGGAAUAUGUUUUUGAAUUGUCUGUCCUACAUCUAGGAGAUGUAAUAAAGUUCAGGAUUUACACAUUUAACCCAUUUUUUGGGGUGUCACAAAACUACUUCUAUAUUUGUUUUUAUGUUAAUUAGAUUGACGCACGGGUGCGUUGAUCAACUUUAGGGGUAUUUAAAGCUAUUUUUUUCUGUAACUGUUAAGAGAAUAAAUGUAUACAAUUAUAUGUUUUCUUGUUUUCUAUCUCACAAUUUAGGCCAAAAGCUAUCAGUAUAGGGAAAUAUGAAAACAUAUUUAGACUGGAAUUAAAU